GGGUGUGGCAGGGCGGGUCUACGGAGGCCUCUUUAGGCCACAGAGCAACGUAAAGCCUAGGCCUGCAGAGACUGCUCAGUCACAGUUGAAGGAGACCUACUGAGUCCUGAGGACAACCAACAAAGGCCUUAACGGCACAGAAGGUUGUGACAUCAGAAAGUUGAUAGACGUGAUCGCUAAGAAUCUUGCCGAAUAUUCUAGGACUACAAGUAAAAGAGACCCUAUUUUCUGUGCUGGGAAAAGCAUCUGAGUGGACCUAACACAGGGCAGUGAAAGUGAUGCAGAACAAACUUCAAAGCCUCCAGGAGCACACGUGACCUCAGCUCACCCCAGUGUCUCCAGGUCUCCUGCUGCUUUAAC
rnacentral:lncRNA from 1 species